AAAUGUAGUAGUUUGCGAAAUUUUUUAUUUCCACAAUGUCUGACGACAGUGGCCUUUCUACGAGCUGUGUUGGAAGCGAAGCAGCGUUUUCUCCGCGUCAAAAUGUUGUCAAAAGUUACGGAAUUUCGAUUGACUCGAGUAAAAUUCACGAAGUCGCUUUCGAAGAGCAACCCGAGACCUUGCGAGCCUUAGGAGUGAAUGUUUUUGACCAAGAUGUGUUCGAGGAAGGGGUUUUACAGCAAGUUGAUCAAGCUAUUGCUGAACAGGAGGAAUUUCUGGAGAGAGAGAGUUUGAGUAAGGAAUUGAAGUCAAUUGAAGACGAAUUGAGGUUAGUAAGAGAUUCAAUGCAUUAAAAAUGUAAGCAGAACUUUAACUCGCUUUAAAUGGCAAAGUUAUGCAUAUAUUUGUCAAGUAGUUUAUCUCUCUCUCAUUGCUUGUUAUUAUCGUCGCUACCCACACUGGCACCAUGACCAUUCGAUAGUAUAUAUUUAUUGUGAUAUUAAUUGUGUUGGUCAUAGUGGUGGUGGUGGUAAUGGUUGUGAUGGUUGGUGGUAGCAACGGUGGUUAUGAUGGUGGUAUGAUUGAUGGUGGUGGUGGCGUUGAUGGUAUGAUUGGUGCUGGUGAUGAUGAUAUGAUUGGUGGUGAUGGACUGAUGGUGGUCAGGCCUUAAAAUAUCUUUUCCAGGCCGUCUGACAAAAUGUCCGGUGAUGUUGAGUUUGGGUCGGACAUAUGUCCGAUGACCUUCAGUUCAUUUUUGACUCGGAAAUAAGUCUGAAUGAUACAUGUACAAAUGAAUAAACGGUAAAUGUUGUAAAGAUAUUAAAUAAUUUGUUUCUUUCAUACAUACUUGCCAGAACAGCAGUAUCAAAAAGACUUCGACAACUUAAGCCCGUUUUCCACUUCACCAUUUCGCUCGCUGCUCCGCGCUUGACUACGUUAAAACAACAUUUCCAGUUCACCUUUUAUACAAUAAUACUCUGAUUUUCCAUUUAACAUACACGCCUGCCUCUAGUCCUGGCCUCCUGGGCUAGGGUACAUUUUGAUUUACGUCGGACAAAGCUACAGUUCGGUCGGACACCAAUACACUCGGGUCGGACAAACAAUAAACCUCAUUUUCACUUAGGUCGGACAGAAUGUCCGGUGGUUUCUUUUCUACGUCGGACAAUUUCACGAAUGGGUCGGACAAUGUCCGUGACCGACCGAUAUUUUAAGGCCUGAUGGUGGUACAGUUGAUGAUGGUGGUGGUGCCGAUGAUGGUAUGAUUGGUGCUGGUGAUGAUGGUAUGAUUGGUGGUGAUGGACUGAUGAUGGUACAGUUGAUGAUGGUGGUGGUGGCGAUGAUGGUAUGAUUGGUGCUGGCGAUGAUGGUUUGAUUGGUGGUGAUGGACUGAUGGUGGUACAGUUGUUGGUGGUGACAGUAAUGAUGAUUGGUGUGAUGAUGAUAAUUAUGGUGUUGCUGCUGAUGAUGAUAGUGGUGGUAUAUAUACAUAGUGGUGAUAGUGUGAUGGUGAUUCUAUAUUUUCUAACUGUAGAAAUGUCAAGCAAAAGCUCCAAAGACCUGGACUAAAACAACCUGCAAGAGAAUUAACUGUAAGUAGAAUACUUCAUUCCUUUAAAGUUUAAAAUGAUUUCAGUAUUUUAUUAAAAUCUUCAGUUCACUUUUUCUUUUCAUUUUGAAGCUGAAUGAUCUUGAGAGACUAAGAGAACAGAAGGAUCAUAUUCUGCAAAGAUUACAGGAGCUUGAUAAACAAAAAGGUU
rnacentral:lncRNA from 1 species